GAACAUUGCGUCAACUACACGUAGACAGGUCAUUUCGCCAUUACGUUUUUGUUAUAAAAAUAUUAUAAGCCCUAUGUUCGGUUAGAUUAGUUACCAUAGUUUAAUUAUACUUUGAAUUUCACAUAUCACGUACCUAUCACAGAAGAUCCCAUAUUAUUAUCGAGCGUUUAACAGUAACGGGAGUCAACUAAAUUAAAUACAUAGGUAACUAUAUUGUAUGAAUACAUCAACAUCAACAUUCAUCGACUCAACAAUCAAAAGUAUACCUCGUGGGAUUAGGUGCAUCAAAUUACAAACGACUAAAAAGGUAGAAAAGAUCACAAACAAAAAAUUGUUUACAGGUUUUAAUUUUUUGGAUUUUACGAAAAGUUUGAAAAUUGGACAAAGGACAUUAUAUUUCUGAGAAUGUUUUGCACAUGAACUUGGUUAGCGAUGACAAGAUCAUUGUGUAUGAUGUGAUUCAAUGUAUAAAAAGAGCCCCAUAAUUGAAUACCAAUCGUCCUACUAUAUUACAUAAAACAUUGGCUUGAUGAAAAGCUUAUAGAUUAUUAGUUUAAUUUCUAAUUGUAUGUAAUUGCAAGUUAAUAAAAAGUAUAGAAGACAGAAGCAAUCAAUGAAAAAAGAAGUCUGUGGUGUAAAGAUUCCUAUUUGUUUAUAUUUUUUU